GACGAACGCUGGCGGCGUGCUUAACACAUGCAAGUCGAACGGAAAGGCCCUGCUUUUGUGGGGUGCUCGAGUGGCGAACGGGUGAGUAACACGUGAGUAACCUGCCCUUGACUUUGGGAUAACUUCAGGAAACUGGGGCUAAUACCGGAUAGGAGCUCCUGCUGCAUGUUGGGGGUUGGAAAGUUUCGGCGGUUGGGGAUGGACUCGCGGCUUAUCAGCUUGUUGGUGGGGUAGUGGCUUACCAAGGCUUUGACGGGUAGCCGGACUGAGAGGGUGACCGGCCACAUUGGGACUGAGAUACGGGCCAGACUCCUACGGGAGGCAGCAGUGGGGAAUAUUGCACAAUGGGCGGAAGCCUGAUGCAGCAACGCCGCGUGCGGGAUGACGGCCUUCGGGUUGUAAACCGCUUUCGCCUGUGACGAAGCGUGAGUGACGGUAAUGGGUAAAGAAGCACCGGCUAACUACGUG
rnacentral:rRNA from 1 species